rnacentral:hammerhead_ribozyme from 1 species
AUGCAACUGAUGAAUCUCAAAUGAGAUGAAACACGUGUCUUGGAU